AAAUAUGGAUAAGAAGCUACAAACCAAAAGGAAUAGAGGAGCAAUGGGGAACAAGUGAAACACAAUCAAAUCACACCCAAAACCCUCUAAUUCAAUCCUCUUCUUGACUCCUUCUUUCACACAAUUUUUUUUAAUUUUUCUCAUUUUUCUGUAUUUUUUUUUCUUUUGUUUUUUUUUUCAUCUUGUCUCUUUUAUUUUCUUUCUAUUUAGAACACANCUGUAAGAGACAAGAUACUCAUCAUACUCACAAAACAAAAGCAAGAAGAGGAACCAACUAGCCAAUUCAUCUGAAUCCCC
rnacentral:lncRNA from 1 species